rnacentral:rRNA from 1 species
GAAAGUGGCGCACGGGUGAGUAACGCGUAGAUAAUCUGCCUGAUGAUCGGGGAUAACACUUCGAAAGGGGUGCUAAUACCGGAUAAGCUCACGGAGUCCUUGGACUCUGCGAGAAAAGGGGGGGACCUUCGGGCCUUCUGUCAUCAGAUGAGUCUGCGUACCAUUAGCUAGUUGGUAGGGUAAAGGCCUACCAAGGCGACGAUGGUUAGCUGGUCUGAGAGGAUGAUCAGCCACACUGGAACUGAGACACGGUCCAGACUCCUACGGGAGGCAGCAGUGGGGAAUUUUGCGCAAUGGGGGAAACCCUGACGCAGCAACGCCGCGUGAGUGAUGAAGGCUCUUGGGUCGUAAAGCUCUGACAGAGGGAAAGAAAUGUAUUGCGGCUAAUACCUGCGAUACUUGACGGUACCCUCAAAGGAAGCACCGGCUAACUCCGUGCCAGCAGCCGCGGUAAUACGGGGGGUGCAAGCGUUGUUCGGAUUUAUUGGGCGUAAAGCGCGUGUAGGCGGUUUGGUAAGUCUGAUGUGAAAGCCCUGGGCUCAACCCGGGAAGUGCAUUGGAUACUGUCAGACUUGAAUACGGGAGAGGGCAGUGGAAUUCCUAGUGUAGGAGUGAAAUCCGUAGAUAUUAGGAGGAACACCGGUGGCGAAGGCGGCUGCCUGGACCGAUAUUGACGCUGAGACGCGAAAGCGUGGGUAGCAAACAGGAUUAGAUACCCUGGUAGUCCACGCCGUAAACGAUGAGAACUAGGUGUUGCGGGUAUUGACCCCUGCAGUGCCGUAGCUAACGCAUUAAGUUCUCCGCCUGGGAAGUACGGUCG